CUGGGUGCCUGUCACCACAAAGGCCAAGGAGCAGAGAGAGAGAACCGAGACUUUAAAGCUGUAUGGUACUCGGAAAGCCAGUGAUCUCAGAAGGCAGCCAAUUAGUAUACUAGGAAGCCCCAAGUACCUUUGAUCUCCUCUCUGGACAGCAAGCUUUAUAGGGCAUGGGGAUGGGAUGGGGACAAAGAGAGUCAAGCAUUCGGGAACUCAGCCUUGCCGCUCUGAUAAGAUGGAGAUCUUCACAUGUCGCUUAGGCUGGUCUGGAACUCAAGAUUAUCCUGGUGAUUACAGUUGCCAUCAUGCCUGUUUUAACUUUGGUGUAUGGAAUAUCUGCUUUUGUCCUUACAUGUAUGGUCUCGCUUGGAGACUCUGUAUGUAACCACCUGGAGAACACAGAGUGCAAAAGGAUACCACUUCUCCAUCUUUUUUUUUUUUUUAAUGGAGAAGGGUUUGUAUUAAUCCCAAUUCCAAAUCUGGUUCAUCAGAUAAAGAAUUAAUUCUUGAAUAAA